CAGUCGAGCGGAGAUGAGGUGCUUGCACCUUAUCUUAGCGGCGGACGGGUGAGUAAUGCUUAGGAAUCUGCCUAUUAGUGGGGGACAACAUUCCGAAAGGAAUGCUAAUACCGCAUACGCCCUACGGGGGAAAGCAGGGGAUCUUCGGACCUUGCGCUAAUAGAUGAGCCUAAGUCGGAUUAGCUAGUUGGUGGGGUAAAGGCCUACCAAGGCGACGAUCUGUAGCGGGUCUGAGAGGAUGAUCCGCCACACUGGGACUGAGACACGGCCCAGACUCCUACGGGAGGCAGCAGUGGGGAAUAUUGGACAAUGGGCGGAAGCCUGAUCCAGCCAUGCCGCGUGUGUGAAGAAGGCCUUUUGGUUGUAAAGCACUUUAAGCGAGGAGGAGGCUACUUAGAUUAAUACUCUAGGAUAGUGGACGUUACUCGCAGAAUAAGCACCGGCUAACUCUGUGCCAGCAGCCGCGGUAAUACAGAGGGUGCGAGCGUUAAUCGGAUUUACUGGGCGUAAAGCGUGCGUAGGCGGCUGAUUAAGUCGGAUGUGAAAUCCCUGAGCUUAACUUAGGAUUUGCAUUCGAUACUGGUCAGCUAGAGUAUGGGAGAGGAUGGUA
rnacentral:rRNA from 1 species